rnacentral:rRNA from 1 species
AGAGUUUGAUCCUGGCUCAGAUUGNUCGCUGGCGGCAUGCCUUACACAUGCAAGUCGAACGGCAGCAUGAUCUAGCUUGCUAGAUUGAUGGCGAGUGGCGAACGGGUGAGUAAUACAUCGGAACGUGCCCUGUAGUGGGGGAUAACUAGUCGAAAGAUUAGCUAAUACCGCAUACGACCUGAGGGUGAAAGUGGGGGACCGCAAGGCCUCAUGCUAUAGGAGCGGCCGAUGUCUGAUUAGCUAGUUGGUGGGGUAAAGGCCCACCAAGGCGACGAUCAGUAGCUGGUCUGAGAGGACGAUCAGCCACACUGGGACUGAGACACGGCCCAGACUCCUACGGGAGGCAGCAGUGGGGAAUUUUGGACAAUGGGCGAAAGCCUGAUCCAGCAAUGCCGCGUGUGUGAAGAAGGCCUUCGGGUUGUAAAGCACUUUUGUCCGGAAAGAAAUGGCUCUGGUUAAUACCUGGGGUCGAUGACGGUACCGGAAGAAUAAGGACCGGCUAACUACGUGCCAGCAGCCGCGGUAAUACGUAGGGUCCAAGCGUUAAUCGGAAUUACUGGGCGUAAAGCGUGCGCAGGCGGUUGUGCAAGACCGAUGUGAAAUCCCCGAGCUUAACUUGGGAAUUGCAUUGGUGACUGCACGGCUAGAGUGUGUCAGAGGGGGGUAGAAUUCCACGUGUAGCAGUGAAAUGCGUAGAGAUGUGGAGGAAUACCGAUGGCGAAGGCAGCCCCCUGGGAUAACACUGACGCUCAUGCACGAAAGCGUGGGGAGCAAACAGGAUUAGAUACCCUGGUAGUCCACGCCCUAAACGAUGUCAACUAGUUGUUGGGGAUUCAUUUCCUUAGUAACGUAGCUAACGCGUGAAGUUGACCGCCUGGGGAGUACNGUCGCANGAUUAAAACUCAAAGAAUUGACGGA